CCGUAGGUGAACCUGCGGAGGGAUCAUUACAAGUGACCCCGGUCUUACCACCGGGAUGUUCAUAACCCUUUGUUGUCCGACUCUGUUGCCUCCGGGGCGACCCUGCCUUCGGGCGGGGGCUCCGGGUGGGCACUUCAAACUCUUGCGUAACUUUGCAGUCUGAGUAAACUUAAUUAAUAAAUUAAAACUUUUAACAACGGAUCUCUUGGUUCUG
rnacentral:misc_RNA from 1 species